AUUGAACGCUGGCGGCAUGCCUUACACAUGCAAGUCGAACGGCAGCACGGGAGCAAUCCUGGUGGCGAGUGGCGAACGGGUGAGUAAUAUAUCGGAACGUGCCCGGUCGUGGGGAUAACGUAGCGAAAGCUACGCUAAUACCGCAUACGAUCUACGGAUGAAAGCGGGGGAUCGCAAGACCUCGCGCGAUUGGAGCGGCCGAUAUCAGAUUAGGUAGUUGGUGAGGUAAAGGCUCACCAAGCCGACGAUCUGUAGCUGGUCUGAGAGGACGACCAGCCACACUGGGACUGAGACACGGCCCAGACUCCUACGGGAGGCAGCAGUGGGGAAUUUUGGACAAUGGGGGGCAACCCUGAUCCAGCAAUGCCGCGUGAGUGAAGAAGGCC
rnacentral:rRNA from 1 species